rnacentral:rRNA from 1 species
AGCGAACGUUAGCGGCACGCCUAACACAUGCAAGUCGAACGAGAAUGUAGACUUCGGUCUACUAGUAAAGUGGCGGACGGGUGCGUAACACGUGGGUAAUCUACCUUCCGGCGGGGACGAACAGUCCGAAGGAUUGCUAAUACCGCAUACGUCAACGGCGCUUACGGCGCUGUUGGGAAGAUGGCCUCUCCUUGGAAGCUGUCACCGGAAGAUGAGCCCG